CUGACAGCAGUAGCGUGCAGGUAGACGGCCCUAUGGGUUGUAAACUGCUUUUAUACGAGAAUAAUUUGAUGCACGUGUGCGUUAUUGCAUGUAUCGUAUGAAUAAGGACCGGCUAAUUCCGUGCCAGCAGCCGCGGUAAUACGGAAGGUCCAGGCGUUAUCCGGAUUUAUUGGGUUUAAAGGGAGUGUAGGCGGUUUGUUAAGCGUGUUGUGAAAUUUAGAUGCUCAACAUUUAACUUGCAGCGCGAACUGGCGAACUUGAGUGCACACAACGUAUGCGGAAUUCAUGGUGUAGCGGUGAAAUGCUUAGAUAUCAUGAAGAACUCCGAUUGCGAAGGCAGCAUACGGGAGUGUAACUGACGCUUAAGCUCGAAGGUGCGGGUAUCGAACA
rnacentral:rRNA from 1 species